rnacentral:rRNA from 1 species
UACGUAGGGUGCGAGCGUUAAUCGGAAUUACUGGGCGUAAAGCGUGCGCAGGCGGUUCGUUAAGUCAGAUGUGAAAGCCCCGGGCUCAACCUGGGAACUGCAUUUGAAACUGGCGGCUUGAGUAUGGCAGAGGGGGUGGAAUUCCGGCGGUGUAGCAGGUGAAAUGCGUAGAGAUGCGGAGGAACACCGAUGGCGAAGGCAGCCCCUGGGCCAAUACUGACGCUCAGGCACGAAGCGUGGGGAGCAAACAGG